rfam:Chromobacterium sp. 37-2 Cmus_37-2.1, whole genome shotgun sequence.
CAGCAUCGCUAGGGGUCCUGCGCCUGGCGUUCGGCGUGAUCGGCUACCACAGUGUAGGACAUCGGGCUGAAAGAUAGGGCGCGGGUGAGAAAUACCCUUGGAACCUGACCCGGAUAAUACCGGCGUAGGGAAGCGUCACCUGUCCGGG